GAUAAACGCUGGCGGCGUGCAUGGGACAUGCAAGUCGAACGGACGAUCAGGGCUUGCUCUGAUCGUUAGUGGCGGACGGCUGAGUAACGCGUAGGUGACCUGCCCCGAAGUGGGGAAUAACUGCCCGAAAGGGUGGCUAAUACCGCAUGUGGUGGUGUGUUCAUUCACACCAGUAAAGCCGCAAGGCGCUACGGGAGGGGCCUGCGUCCGAUUAGCUCGUUGGUGGGGUAACGGCUCACCAAGGCGACGAUCGGUAGGUGGUCUGAGAGGACGAUCACCCAGACUGGGACUGGGACACGGCCCAGACUCCUACGGGAGGCAGCAGUCGGGAAUUUUGCGCAAUGGACGAAAGUCUGACGCAGCAACGCCGCGUGAGGGAUGACGGCCUUCGGGUUGUAAACCUCUUUUGUCAGGGACGAUGAUGACGGUACCUGACGAAUAAGUCACGGCUAACUACGUGCCAGCAGCCGCCGUAAGAC
rnacentral:rRNA from 1 species